GAAGUGCAUUGACCCAAGUGAAAGAUUCUUGUUGAAUGGCAGAAAUGCCUUCCAGAAGAACUGCAUGGAGAGUCACUAUCUUGACCUUCCCAUCAUGCUUCAGGCACAGACUCAAGUUGUACAGAGUGAUCCUCAGUAGGACAGAAGCUGCCAAUUAUCCUUGGCUCCUACUUUCUACAGAAGAGAUCAUCUAUACAUAUAGGAACUUUAUAGGAUCCCAACUGGAACAAACAAACGAACUACAAAUAGGCUAACCUCAACUAUACUUAGGACCUCUUACUAGUGUGGUAUGAAAUGGUCACACAGAAGGUGGUUUUGGUGAGGGCAAAACUUCCUGCCAGCCUGAUAUCUAACUGUGCUGCUUUGGGAAGAGGAGUGCACAGCGAAAGAAAAGGCGCCACGGAGCACCCUCGCUUCUACAGCAGACUUCAUACAGUAGCAGGGACUAAAAACCAACUGGCAAGACAUGGAUUGCAAGAUCAGCUCAGAAGAGAGAGAGGGCCGCUGAUUUGCAUCUUCAGUCUUCAUAAACAAAACAAGUCACCUUUGCCUUUCUGGAACUUCUCCAUGUGCUGACAUAGCAGCUCACCUGGUGACAGCCUGCAGCAGAGUUGAAGGCCAAGGGGGGAACUAAGCAAUCUGGACCUAGAAGAAACAACGCUGUGAGCAGCAGAGCAUGCUGGGGGCUGAGAGCCCAUUUUAGUUUUAAACUAUUAUAAAAAGGAAGUCCCAUUUUCCCAGUUUUAACUUUGAAAACCCACAUUUUUCUAUGUUGUCAAACUUCAGUAAAUAACACUUUCAAGUGUUGAA
rnacentral:lncRNA from 1 species